rnacentral:rRNA from 1 species
UAACACAUGCAAGUCGAGCGGGGGAAGGUAGCUUGCUACCGGACCUAGCGGCGGACGGGUGAGUAAUGCUUAGGAAUCUGCCUAUUAGUGGGGGACAACAUCUCGAAAGGGAUGCUAAUACCGCAUACGUCCUACGGGAGAAAGCAGGGGAUCUUCGGACCUUGCGCUAAUAGAUGAGCCUAAGUCGGAUUAGCUAGUUGGUGGGGUAAAGGCCUACCAAGGCGACGAUCUGUAGCGGGUCUGAGAGGAUGAUCCGCCACACUGGGACUGAGACACGGCCCAGACUCCUACGGGAGGCAGCAGUGGGGAAUAUUGGACAAUGGGGGGAACCCUGAUCCAGCCAUGCCGCGUGUGUGAAGAAGGCCUUAUGGUUGUAAAGCACUUUAAGCGAGGAGGAGGCUACUUUAGUUAAUACCUAGAGAUAGUGGACGUUACUCGCAGAAUAAGCACCGGCUAACUCUGUGCCAGCAGCCGCGGUAAUACAGAGGGUGCGAGCGUUAAUCGGAUUUACUGGGCGUAAAGCGUGCGUAGGCGGCUUAUUAAGUCGGAUGUGAAAUCCCCGAGCUUAACUUGGGAAUUGCAUUCGAUACUGGUGAGCUAGAGUAUGGGAGAGGA